AGGUCAACUCCCCCCAGUCACCUUUUCUCACUCCAGUAUUUUGGUGUGUUGAACUACCGGCAUAUUUUGGCUAAGGCUGUGCAAUAGAGUGGCAAAUGAAUUUAUUUCUGACCUGCAGGUUAUUCACUUGCCAGUCUUUCUCCUGUUCAUUCAGAAAGGUAAGGAAGAGCAUUUCAUACGAAACUCACCAGAACUAUGUUAAGGGAUUCUAGAAAACAUCCUCUUCUCUCUCACUGUUUAUUUUCAGGACUCUUGGGACAUGCUGUUGGAAAAGCCUCUCUGUUUUUACACCAACACCCAGUCUAAAAGUCAAGUGUUUGCAUUUAUUAACUGGAUGCAAUUUCUCUCUUUCCCAGGUUUGCUUUAUCUUUAAAACCACAACAAGCAGCAUUCAAAAUGGAUACCCAUGUCCCACAGCCAGUGUCCACCCCAGGCACCCCUCCAGCUGAUGUAAGAGCAGAAUGGAGAAAAUCAGUCCUUCCACAGAGUUCACAUGGCAGAAGUGUUCUGCAUGGCUUCAGCUGUCAGAGAUUUACUAGCUGUAUGGUUGUACACUUACAUCCUGAGUGCCAGAAUGGACUGUAUCUCUUCUAACUGGAUCAAACCAGAGAGGAAAUAUGAUCAUAAAGCUACUUCAAAGAACAUGUUCCCAAAGGUGAGAGCAAACACCACAUUUUCAUUUCAGCAGCCUGCUCUGUAGCAACUCUGUGGCUUCAUGUGAAAAUAAACAUAGCAGAAGAUAGACAAAACCUGCAUUGUGCACUGUAUCUGGUAAGCAGUGUCUUUGGCUCUCUGAUGCUGCCAGGGAGCAGCUUUUGACCCCUGCUUGGAAGAAAAUACCUCUGGCAUUUCUUGUACCAUCAGUAGGAAUCCCUUACCUUAAGUAAACUAAGUAAGUACAUAGAAAAGUUAUAAACCUCACCCAGUAGUAGAAUGAGCACACACAAGGUUAUAA